rnacentral:misc_RNA from 1 species
GAUGAAGAACGCAGCGAAAUGCGAUAAGUAAUGUGAAUUGCAGAAUUCAGUGAAUCAUCGAAUCUUUGAACGCACAUUGCGCCCGCCAGUAUUCUGGCGGGCAUGCCUGUCUGAGCGUCAUUUCAACCCUCAUGCCCCUAGGGCGUGGUGUUGGGGAUCGGCCAAAGCCCGCGAGGGACGGCCGGCCCCUAAAUCUAGUGGCGGACCCGUCGUGGCCUCCUCUGCGAAGUAGUGAUAUUCCGCAUCGGAGAGCGACGAGCCCCUGCCGUUAAACCCCAAACUUUCCAAGGUUGACCUCAGAUCAGGUAGGAAUACCCGCUGAACUUAAGCAUAUCAAUAAGCGGAGGA